rnacentral:lncRNA from 1 species
UUUUAAUUUCCUAGAAAAUACUGGGGGUUAUAGCUCAGUAUUGAAGUUUAUCAUGGUUGUCUCUCUAGCACUGUAAUAAAAGUUAUCAAUUGAUUAAUUACAUAUGAAAAUUAAGGAUUUCCAGUCAACAUCGUAGAAGGAACUAAUUUGUGUAGGUGCUCACUUAUUACUCCAAAUGCAUAGAUACCACAAUUUUCUUUAAAAUAGAAGGCCACUUUUCAAAGGAAGUUAGAAUUUACACUGAAGAAUAAGUACAUAUUGAAAACUAGAUACAAAUGAGCCUCAGAGGAUAGGAGCUAGUGUUGGCAGAGAAAGAGAUAGAAACUGAAACAGUCCCUUAUGCUUGUAGCGGCUGCCUCUAGGGAAACAUCUGGAGAAAACAAGGUAUUAACUAUAAUUGCCUCUGGAAAAUGGGGUUACAGUAGCACAGGAAACCCUACUGGAAAAAGGCCCUGAACUGUAAGGAUCAGAAGUAUUCCUUCCUGGCUUCUGUUUCCUAAUCGGCGUAUACAGCUUUGCUUUCAAGGCGUCCCUGAGCCCCUUUCUGAAUUGUCAUAUCGAACCUUCUUUCUUUUGUUUUUGCUCUGCUUUAGUCUUCCAUCCACAUAGAUUUGCAGGACAAUUGGUCUAGACUAGGUACAGCCAAGCAGCUGUGCUUCAGGUUUAGCCUCUGCUGGAUUGGGCAUCGCCAUUUGGAUCAGAUUCACAUUUGUUCCAGGUGGUUCCUUCUGAGUCACAUGCUGAAAGUAGCUGCCCGGACAUGUUAUCCAUGGUGGACUGCCGAAGCACAGAGGCCAGAUGAAGUCACACAGGGUUUUAGCCCUUGCAGCAAUCCUGCAUCGGCCUACUAAGUGCAAGGAUUACAAGUGUGAGCCUCCACACCUGACAUAAUUCUUGUUUUCCAACAAUUGAAAUCAGUUCCAAGUUUGAGGCUUCCUGACCAGAGCAACAUGAAGUCCUCCUGCACAGAGAGCUUCUGCAGUCUAGGAGUGUUGUGUUUGGGGAAAGUGUUUACAGGUGUUCUCACUUUGUAAUUAUUAGUUAAGCAGUACAUUAUGAUUGGGGAAAUUGUAAGGGGUUCAUAUGUUUAAAGGUUUUAAAAAUAAAAUGGGAAAACCAAAAGAAAUCCAAAAAUGAACCAACUCUUAAGAGAAUGGGGAGAGGUUAACAUAAAUCCAUCACCGGGUCAGCUGUGAGGAGAAUUUGCAGCCGUUAUGGGACUGUGAAGACUGGUCUGACCAAAAUUAGAAUGUCACAGUAAAGAAGUAGUGAUGGAAGUGUGGGUGUAUUAGCAUCUGUAACAGGAUAAGCAAUUUAGAAGCACUCAACACUUUUUAUGAGAAGCAAAUAAUAACUAAAAUUGAAAAAUCAACAAUUAGUUCUCUAUGCAUGUUGUUUUGAUAUUUUUAUUGUUAACAUAGUAGAACUAUGUACUUGUAACAGGUAUUGCUCUGGUUUAAACAUAUAUUAAAUUUUAAUAAAU